AACGAACGCUGGCGGCAGGCUUAACACAUGCAAGUCGAACGCUCGUGGCAACACGGGAGUGGCAGACGGGUGAGCAACGCGUGGGAACCUACCUCAUGGUGCGGAAUAACUCAGGGAAACUUGAGCUAAUACCGCAUGUGUCCUUCGGGAGAAAGAUUUAUCGCCAUGGGAUGGGCCCGCGUCGGAUUAGCUAGUUGGUGGGGUAACGGCCUACCAAGGCGACGAUCCGUAGCUGGUCUGAGAGGAUGAUCAGCCACACUGGGACUGAGACACGGCCCAGACUCCUACGGGAGGCAGCAGUGGGGAAUAUUGGACAAUGGGCGCAAGCCUGAUCCAGCCAUGCCGCGUGAGUGAUGAAGGCCUUAGGGUUGUAAAGCUCUUUCGCCGGUGAAGAUAAUGACGGUAACCGGAGAAGAAGCCCCGGCUAACUUCGUGCCAGCCGCCGCAGUAACAC
rnacentral:rRNA from 1 species